AACGCAUAUUGCGCCCUGUGGUAUUCCGCAGGGCAUGCCUGUUCGAGCGUCAUUAUAACCACUCACGCCUGGCGUGGUGUUGGGACCCGCGGUUCCGCGGUCCUCAAACCCAGUGGCGGUGCCCGUGGGCUCUAAGCGUAGUAAUACUCCUCGCUAUAGGGUCCCGCGGGUUGCCCGCUAGAACCCCCAAAUCUUUCAGGUUGACCUCGGAUCAGGUAGGGAUACCCGCUGAACUUAA
rnacentral:misc_RNA from 1 species